UUAAAUCUAUUACAUUUUUUCAAAACCCCUAAUCAACCAACGCAUAAGGCAGGACCUCACCACCUUACUACCGCCUUACGCCUUCCACACCCUUGAUCAUAAAUACCUUAAUAUUCUUUUCUCCAGAUGCACCUAAACUUGUCAAGUUCAAUCCGUAUCGAUGUAAAAAAACAAGCAGAGAUUAUAAAUCACACGCACAACACAACUAUAAAUGGAAAAAAUGGCCACCAACCCCAAACACUCUUGUUCUAGAUAAAAUGUAGUAGACGUCUGAAUGAGGCAGAAAACCCCGGAUAUAGCAGAAGGCUCUAUCACACCCCUACAAUGAUCUAAAAUUCAGUUCACAUAACCACUAAUAUCAAGACAUAAGUUCAUCUCUAUUGACGGGAACCCAGUUCGCGCAUCAGUACGUUGAUCGAUGAAAAAAGUGUCAUUGACGAGACCGAUUAUAAUCCUCUCAACCAAUCCAAGGCAUUGCAAGCACCUAGGUCCUUCCAAUUUCCUUCACUACAUUUUCCCUGAAACCAAACAUAUACUCCAAAGCAGCCUAUAAGGAGCAGCUUGACAUCCAUUUCUGAAUAUCUUAACCAGCACCACAAGCAAGCUUCAUUCUUUCAACUCCUUCUAUUUCUCAUCCUUCUGCCCAUAAUCAACAAAUCGAUCGCAAAGUAAAAAUAAAUCAAAACGAGGACAAAGCAGAUAUUAAUAUCAAACCUGUCUAGUCUCGUAGAGCUUGAACUUCUCGAUGGAGUGAUCGAGGGGAUUGAUUUCAAAGUCAUUAGAGGGAUGGAUUUUAGCGGCGCUACUUCCCGCCGGGUUGUUGGAUUUCGAACUCUCCGAUUUCGACAUGGAUUUCACCGGAAGAAAAAAUCUAAUUCGGAAGGAACACAAUAUUAAAGAAGAAAGAGGAGUGUUGAUCAGUGUAAACAGUGAUCGUCCUAAAUUGCCGGUUGUCGUUUGGCUCGAUGAUACAGCGGCGGAGAGAGAAAAUAUGAGAAUCGGAAAUCGGGAGGAAACCGUUGGAAAAGGAAAUAUUUCGGCAAUUAAAAGUCUUCGGCGAGGAAAAGAAUAGACUUUUUAAUAUAUAUGGUACUUCCACUUUAUGAUAUACUCAUUUUAAGUCCACAAAUUAUUUUGUUAUCACUAAUGCCGCCUCCCUUUUCCCUCCUGCUCUCCCAAAUUCUGAACUCAGAAAGCAUUGCACGCCAACUGUUCGAGAAAAUUCCCAAACUAGAAAUGAACACCAACCUCAACUCAUAAGAAAAUUCCAGAAUCCGCUUACCGUC
rnacentral:lncRNA from 1 species